rnacentral:rRNA from 1 species
AUUGAACGCUGGCGGCAGGCCUAACACAUGAAAGUCGAGCGGAGCGGCGGAAGGGUGAGUAAUGCCUAGGAAUCUGCCUGGUAGUGGGGGAUAAAGUCCGGAAACGGGCGCUAAUAACGCAUAAUAUCAGAUGAGCCUAGGUCGGAUUAGCUAGUUGGUGGGGUAAAGGCCUACCAAGGCUACGAUCCGUAACUGGUCUGAGAGGAUGAUCAGUCACACUGGAACUGAGAAACGGUCCAGCCUCCUACGGGAGACAGCAGUGGGGAAUAUUGGCCAAUGGGCGAAAGCCAGAUCCAGCCAUGCCGCGUGUGUGAAGAAGAUAUUCGGAUUGUAAAGCACUUUAAGUUGUGAGGCGUUAACAACAGAAUAAGCACCGGCUAACUUCGUGCCAGCAGCCGCGGUAAUUC